rnacentral:rRNA from 1 species
AUGAACGCUGGCGGCGUGGCCUAAUACAUGCAAGUCGAGCGGAAAGGCCCCUUCGGGGGUACUCGAGCGGCGGACGGCUGAGUAACGCGUAGGAAUGUACCCCGAAGUGAGGAAUAACUGCCCGAAAGGGUGGCUAAUGCCGCAUGUGAUCUACGGAUUAAAGCUUUUAGCGCUUUGGGAACAGCCUGCGUAUGAUUAGCUUGUUGGUGAGGUAAUGGCUCACCAAGGCGAUGAUCAUUAGCUGGUCUGAGAGGAUGAUCAGCCAGACUGGGACUGAGAACGGCCCAGACUCCUACGGGAGGCAGCAGUAGGGAAUUUUCCACAAUGGGGGCAACCCUGAUGGAGCAACGCCGCGUGCAGGAUGAAUGCCUUCGGGUUGUAAACUGCUUUUAUUAGUGACGAUUAUGACGGUAACUAAUGAAUAAGGACCUGCUAACUACGUGCCAGCAGCCGCGGUCAUACGUAGGGUCCAAGCGUUAUCCGGAAUUACUGGGCGUAAAGAGUUGCGUAGGUGGCUAGGUAAGUAGAUAGUGAAAGCGUGUGGCUCAACCAUACAUCCAUUAUCUAACUGUUUAGCUAGAGGACGAGAGAGGUAGAUGGAAUUCCUAAUGUAGGGGUAAUAUCCGUAGAUAUUAGGAGGAACACCGAUGGCGUAAGCAGUCUACUGGCUCGUUCCUGACACUAAGGCACGAAAGCGUGGGGAGCGAACGGGAUUAGAUACCCCGGUAGUCCACGCCGUAAACUAUGGAUGCUAGCUGUAAGAGGUAUCGACCCCUCUUGUAGCGAAGCUAACGCGUUAAGCAUCCCGCCUGUGGAGUGCGAGCGCAAGCUUAAAACAUAAGGGAAUUGACGGGGACCCGCACAAGCGGUGGAGCGUGUUGUUUAAUUCGAUGGUAAGCGAAGAACCUUACCCAGGUUUGACAUCCCGAGAAGGUUCCGAAAGGAAAUUGUGCCGUAAGGAACUCGGUGACAGGUGAUGCAUGGCCGUCGUCAGCUCGUGUCGUGAGAUGUUUGGUUAAGUCCAUCAACGAGCGCAACCCUUAUAGUUAGUUGUAUUUUUUCUAGCUAGACUGCCCUGGUAACAGGGAGGAAGGGGGGGAUGAUGUCAGGUCAGUAUUUCCCUUACAUCUGGGGCUACAAACACGCUACAAUGGCCGGUACAAAGGGCAGCCAAGUCGCGAGACGGAGCAAACCCCAUCAAAGCCGGUCUCAGUUCGGAUAGCAGGCUGAAACUCGCCUGCUUGAAGCCGGAAUCGCUAGUAACGGUGAGUCAGCACAUCACCGUGAAUACGUUCCCGGGUCUUGUACACACCGCCCGUCAAGCCAUGAAAGUCGCCAAUACCUGACGUGUUGCCUUCGCGCAGCCCUAAGGUAGGGGAGGUGAUUGGGGUU